rnacentral:rRNA from 1 species
AUUGAACGCUGGCGGCAUGCCUUACACAUGCAAGUCGAACGGCAGCACGGGGCAACCUGGUGGCGAGUGGCGAACGGGUGAGUAAUGCAUCGGAACGUACCUUUCAGUGGGGGAUAACGUAGCGAAAGUUACGCUAAUACCGCAUAUUCUGUGAGCAGGAAAGCAGGGGAUCGCAAGACCUUGCGCUGAUUGAGCGGCCGAUGUCAGAUUAGCUAGUUGGUGAGGUAAAGGCUCACCAAGGCAACGAUCUGUAGCGGGUCUGAGAGGAUGAUCCGCCACACUGGAACUGAGACACGGUCCAGACUCCUACGGGAGGCAGCAGUGGGGAAUUUUGGACAAUGGGGGCAACCCUGAUCCAGCCAUGCCGCGUGAGUGAAGAAGGCCUUCGGGUUGUAAAGCUCUUUCGGCCGGGAAGAAAUCGCACGGGCUAAUACCCUGUGUGGAUGACGGUACCGGAAUAAGAAGCACCGGCUAACUACGUGCCAGCAGCCGCCGCAG